rnacentral:sRNA from 2 species
UAUAAAGUGAUCUAGGGUUCCGGCAGUAUUGUCAUUUUAAACAUACUGCGGCUGUGACCGAGAGUUCACGGCUCAAUUGAGCUACACGGAGGGAUAAAAGCCCGGGAGGU